rfam:Aspergillus carbonarius ITEM 5010 unplaced genomic scaffold ASPCAscaffold_8, whole genome shotgun sequence.
GCCCUGCUGGCGCAAUGGUAGCGCGCAAGACUUCUACCUUAUUCUGCCAACCUGCGAUGAGAACAUCAUAGUUCUUACGUGAGAAUUUAGAGAUCUUGAGGCUGUGGGUUCGACCCCCACGUAGGGCU